GAUGAACGCUGGCGGCGUGCCUAAUACAUGCAAGUCGAGCGAACAGACGAGGAGCUUGCUCCUCUGACGUUAGCGGCGGACGGGUGAGUAACACGUGGAUAACCUACCUAUAAGACUGGGAUAACUUCGGGAAACCGGAGCUAAUACCGGAUAAUAUAUUGAACCGCAUGGUUCUAUAGUGAAAGACGGUUUUGCUGUCACUUAUAGAUGGAUCCGCGCCGCAUUAGCUAGUUGGUAAGGUAACGGCUUACCAAGGCAACGAUGCGUAGCCGACCUGAGAGGGGGAGCGGCCAAACGGGAACUGAGACAGGGUCCAGACUCCUAGGGGAGGCAGCAGUAGGGAAUCUUCCGAAAUGGGCGAAAGCCUGAGGGAGCAACGCGGGGUGAGGGAUGAAGGGGUGCGGCUCGAAAAACUCUGUUAUGAGGGAAGAACAAAUGUGGAAGUAACUGGGCACGGCGUGACGGUACAUAAUCAGAAAGACACGGCGAACUACGUG
rnacentral:rRNA from 1 species